rnacentral:ncRNA from 1 species
AUUAGAGGUCGCACCGAUCAUCAGUCGCAACUGCAAUGGCCUGAACGCCAGAUGCACAGUUGUUAAAGGGAAAGGUGCCGAAAUGCCGGCUUAGUUCAGUAAGGCGGUGUUGGGCCAGUGGAUAACAUCUGCUGGACUGUCGCGGCUAUCGCGGGGCGCUA